rnacentral:lncRNA from 1 species
GCCGUAGUUGAACUGGAAGUGGAUGAGGCCUUGGGGGAACACAAACACAUCACCCUUGCGAAGCACUUUGGUGACGAGCCUGUUGUCGGGGUUGGAGGUGACGAAGCCGACGUAGAGCGAGCCUUCCAACACCGUUUGGAUCUCCGUCGCCCGGGGAUGGAUGUGAGGAGGGUUAAGGCCAAACGGCGCGUAGUCCACCCGGGCCAUGGAGAUGCCGAGGGUGUUGAGGCCGGGAAUUCGGUUCACGUUUAGGAGCGUCACGUUGGAGCCGACUUUGUUGGUGGUGUCGCGAGGCUCGUCGAGACCGGAGAAGAAGAAGUCCUCGGCCUUGACGAGCUUCGGAUCCUUGCAGACAAAUCCGUUGACGAACACUGCAUGGGUCGAAGCAGGAAUCAACAUCUCGAUCCAUGAUAAUAAUCAACCCGAUCACAGGUACAUUAGAUAAGCUGUUAGUAUACCAUUGGACGUGUUAUCUGCGACACACAGGUCUUGGAGAGCACCGGGAUCACGGGCCAUGGUUGGGGAAGAAGCCAAAGCAAGGAGAGCAGCGAGGAGGAGGGCGUAGGCUGCAGCCAUGUCUUUGAAUUGUUCCGCUACGUAACGAGAGCAAGGAAGUAAAGAGAGGAAAGGAUCACGAGAGCUUUUGUCGUUGGAUGCAGAUAGCAUGAGCAGAUGGAUACAUGUAUAUAUAUCACAUCGGAAGAGUUGACGCUUUCCCGUUGAACAGGAAAUGAUAGGCGGCAGCUGCAAGAAGGAGUCAAUCGCAAGUGAUAUAUACUAGUAAUAAUAAUCAAAUGUUUGAUGCAGUCCAUCCUCUGCUUCACCACGUAACAUCAUAUGCACGCGGAAUUAUUGAUAGCAGCACCAAAGAGAAAGAAUGUUACGCUGUGACUGCAUCAAACUUGUACUUGUUCUUAUCGGCACAUGCGAACAAUGACUUGUUCAAUCAAUCAUAUGCCGGCGGGAUAUUGUUGAUCGAUCGUUCACAGCUACUGUAAGCCUUCCUGUUGAAUGGGAAAGCAUUACUGUGUCAACGCUUUCUUAUUGCCAAAAGUCUCUCUAUCUGUAGAUAUCCAUCCAUCUGCUUCCUCCUCGUUCUACCACCAACUAGUAAAGUUCUCUCUUGGCUCCGUCUUGAUCACCAAACACUGUGCAAUGAGCAUAAUAUUAUUGAUUCUUAGGCCAUUUGGCAAUCGAACUUGCAGAAUUGUUGAUUCCUUGACACUGUCAUGUGAUCUAAACUUAUCCUAAUUGUGUUCUUACACCUCCCUCUUUAAGAGACUUCUAUGUUACAUAACAUUUGGUAUCAGCAUACUGUCUUCAGCAUACAAUACAUACUAUCAAAGGAGUAUUAGCAGAUUGUAAAAAUUAAAGCACCGGAGGCAAUGUUGAUGGAUACACACAAAAAAAAUAAAGUUGGAAGAACAAAGAUUGAAAGAUCCAAAGGCAAAGAAUUAUCUUUUCCAAGCGAUUGAUCACCGAAUCUUGAAAAUAAUUCUUUGUAAGGAUACUUCCAAGCAAAUAGUUUGGGCUUUGAUGGUAGUCUUCGGGAUCUAUUGAAUGUCGAAUUCUUCAAGCUCGACCGACCAUUUGAGCAUCUGUCCUGAUAUAUCGAACUUGGAUAGAAUCUGACGUAGUAGUUGAUCGGUCACCACCUUUAUCGUGUGGGCUUGAAAAUAUGGGCGCAGUUUCUAGUCGCUUGUGCUAGGGCUAAUGCCAAUUUCUCGAUCGGUUGGUAUCAUCCCUUGGGCCCGUUCAAGAUGUGGCCAGUGUAGUAGAUUGGUCAUUGUGUUCCUACAUCAUCUCGGACUAGGACCGAACUAACUGCGUGUUUGGACUACACGAGGUAGAGGCUAAGCGGUUCGCCCAAGAUGACCAAGGCAAGUUGAGGUAGCUAAGUGAGAUAUUCCUUGAGAUUCCCAAAGGCUUCCUCACAUUCAGAAUUCCACUUGAAGUCUUUGGGAUGCCUUAAAGCUGGAAAGAAGGGAAGGCAUUUGUCUCCCAAUCGGGAUAAGAAUCGGGUAAGGGCGGCUAGCCUUUCUGUAAGGCGUUGCACCUCCUUAGCCGAGCAGGGGUGCAACAUAUCAGUUAUAACUCGAACCUUUUUGGGGCUAUCCCCCUCUAGUGAAUGAUGAAGCUGAGGAACUUACCAGAAUCGACUCUGUAGGCACACUUAGCGAGGUUGAGAUGUAUGCUAAACUUCCUAAGUGUUUGGAACGUCUCAACCAGAUAUGCCAGAUGGGUGCUAGCGAGCUUGCUUUUCAUGAUCAUGUCGUCAACGUAUACCUUCAUGUUCCUCCCGAUCUAGUACUUGAACAUCUUGUUAACUGUUCUUUGGUAUGUUGCUCUAGCGGUCUUCAGCCCGAAGGGCAUAACCUUGUAAUAGUAGACUCCUCGAUUUGUGAUGAAGGCAAUAUGCUCUUGAUCUUCAGGAGCCAUUUUGAUUUAGUUAUAUCCUGAGAAGGCAUCCAUGAAUGUAGGAGCUCGUGCCCCGAGGUUAUGUCGACCAAUUGGUCAAACCUCAGGAGCGGGUAGCAAUCCUUCAGGCAUGCACAAUUAAGAUCGGUGUAGCAACACAUAUCUUUUAGCUUCUAUUAGAUUUUUUGACAAGGACUACAUUGGAUAGCCAUCAAGAAUACCUUACCUCGAAUAUGAACCAUGCCUCCAAUAGACAAUCCACCUCAUUACUGACGGCUUUCUGUUAGUUGUGAGAAAACUUUCAAGGCCUCUACUUCACCGGCCGCACUUGGGGGCAAUUAUUCAGGUGGUGUCGUACUACCUUUGGAUCAAUUCCCAACUUGUAUUUUGGUGACCAAGCAAAGACAUCGACAUUUUUUGUCAAUAAGUCAAUGAGUUGGACUCAUUCUUUUUCUAGGAGCUCAAACCCGACCUUCACAAGUUUGUCUAAUCGACUUUUGCGUAGGGGGACAUCUAGUAUCUACUCGGUUGGCUCAGGACGAUGUGAUAAUUUGGCAACAUCUUGGGGGUUAGACACAUGCAGCUUGGGUUUUAGCUUCUUACGUAGCAUGACAGCUGCCAGAUUGCAUUGCCUUGACUCCCGAGGAUCACUCCUUCUCUAUUCCCAAUGCAAGUUAGGAACUUUAUUGCCCAGUGAUAGGUGGAGAUGACAGCUCUUAACUUGUUAAGAGUCGGGCAGCCUAGGAUGAUAUUAUAUGCUGAAGGGAGUCCGACCACUAUGAGGUGACCAUCAUAGUCUUGGACCUCGGUUCCUCCCCAAUGGUGACCGAUAAGGUGGUAGUGUCGAGGGGCGAGAUAGAAUCUCUAGUGAACCUAGUGAGAGUCGAGGCCAUAGGAGCUAGGUAUUUUCUAGCUAAGCCAAGCUUCUAGAAGGUGUUGUGGUACAAUACUUUGGCUAAGCUCCCGGUAUCUACCAUUAUCCUUUUGACCUGGGCAUUGGUAAUCCUGACUGAGAUCACCAGGGUGUCGUCAUGGUCGGGGUGCUUGACUUCCCCCGUUGGGAAGGUGAUCUCGGGCUCAUCCCAUUACUUGGGACGCCUUUCCACAGUUGCUCGGGUGUAGGCAUUUUAUGUCGAUGCGAUGUCUCAUCCCAAAGUAGACCACCGAUGAUGACAUCAAUCUAUCUUUCUACAAGUCCCGGGGGGUGCGGGGAGGAUUCUCGUGGCUUCUUAAUGUAGCAUCCAAGAUGCCCCCUACGAAUGAGCUCCUCGAUCAGGUUCUUUAGGUCAUAACACUCCUCGGUGUCAUGACCAUAGUUGUGGUGGAACCGGUAAUAGUUGAAGUGAUCUCUGAGCUAGCACAAAGUUUUCAUCGGGUUGGGCACUCUUAGGAGCCCCUUCUCUCUGAUCUAGAGGAAGAUCUCCAUUCUGGAUGAAUUCAAGGGUGGAAGAGGUGGCCUCAGGAGCAGCAGCUCGUGUCGGUCGAGCCUUCUUCUUGGUGGGCCUGAGGGCUACCCUCGGAAUUGCUCCAUGCGAGGCCUCUUGUGUUCCUUACACUUUCCUGCCACUAGGGCCUCUGCAACUAUGUACUGAUUUGCACAUUGGAGCAUCUCGGGGAUGGUCACCACCAAUCACUCAACCAACCACCAAAAAAUUUUGGAUAGUCGCACACCCAUCAAGAAUGCUUGCAUGAUCAAUGAGGGGUGCGUGUCGAGAACUCCUUAUAUCUCAGCGACGAAAUGAGCGACAAAGUGAGAGAGGGGUUCGUCGUCCUUCUGACUCAGACUAAGGAGCUUAGCUGCAAAUGGUUUUGGCCAUGCACUAGCUAGGAAAUUGAGCUCGAAUUCCCUUGUAAGCUGGUUGAAAGAUGAGAUCGAGGCUGGCAUAAGUUGGCUAUACCACAUCCGAGUCAAACCCCGAAGAGUGGUGGGAAACGCCUGACACAUCAGGGCAUCGGAAGUACCAUAUAGGGCCAUUUGAGCCUAAAAGGUGGCGACAUGCUCUACCAGGUCGGAGCCACCAUUGUAAGCCUUAAGCGUAGGGAGGCGGAAGUUUAGUGGUAUCGAUUUGUCCUAGAUCUCUUUUAUAAAGGGAGACCCUAUUGAGGAGGCUUCCCUAAGCUCUUGGACUUAUCAAACUCCCUUUGGACCUUGUUCAAACAUCAAUUGACCGAGUGCAACUGAGCUCCGAGAGAGUCCACCGAGUCAGAUGAUAGGGUGUCAGGAUUGGGGCAGCUCGGGAUGGUGCAUCGGAGGCCUAGGUCGCUGUGCUCUGUUGUUGGUCUCGGGUUCCCCGAUUACUCCUCAGGUGACAGAUUCACAUCCGUUGCUCUAGGUUGGUGAGGGACUAGAGAUGGCUCUCGUGGCACGGUGAUAGGGGUCGGUGGGUCCCACGACGGCAACGGUUUAGGCAGUACCGACUGCUAGGCAUGUUGGGGGAUGAGGGGGAUGAUAGUCUUCAUCAUCCCUGCUAAGGCUUGGACUUUGUGAGUGAAGCUUAGGAGCACCUCGGCUGAGACAACAGGUUGCCCCAUGGUGGUCUCGGGAGGUGACAGCCCAGGAUCAUUGAACAACCGUCAAUAGCGGCUCGGGGUUGCAACCGAGGUAUUCCAUUCUAGGCUUGGAGGAAGUGAGAGCUGUCAUCCAAACCCGAAGGUCAGAUGAGUCGGAAGUGGCUCUUCUCCAACGUGCUCUCUCAGGAUGCUCAGUUGGGGGCGUUCUUAUGACAUCGGGCUCUCCUUCUAGCGCUAAAAUAUUGGGAAACCUUUAUGUCGUAACUGAGGUAUUAGCACGGCUCGGUCCAAUCAUAAAUAAGCAAAGUUGCCCAUGCAAAUGCUUGGAUAGUAGAACUAGGCAUCGGGUUGGGUUGGGUUCGAGCCUCGUCUCCCGAGUGCAGUCUUCUCCCUUGGCGAGUUGCCUGCUUUUUUAUCGCUGAGUUCUUAUACAUAAGCCAAAGUCGGGAGAGGAAUUUCCUAACUCGAUCCCUCCAAAGUUUAAGUUAGUGUUGAGUGGAAUUAGGGGGAGUUGAGUGCUCGAAAUCUCUCUCGGGCUUGGUUAGGGGGUUGGCUUUUAGACAUACGAAUAAGGGUUGAUUGUACAUAUUCCUUUAAUGGUUGUCAACUUCUUGGGAGGAUGACUUGUACCCUACGGAUGAACAUCGAUGGAUAUGUACGGAUCCGUGCUGUGCGGCACUGUUCCGAGCUUUCCGGAAUGACUCUGUGGUGUUCGAUGCUGACUUGUAUGGUGUCGAAUAGUCCGAGGGAGUGUGAUCGUCUCAUUCCGGUCCGAGGUGUUGUGUGGUGUCAACUUGUAGGUCCUUUGUUGGCCUUGUCAUAGUCACCAUAUGCUGCCACGUGGAUGGUGGAGAAAUGUGCCACAUCAAUUACAUAUUACAAUCGGCACCAUGUUUUGCGACAGAAGAGAGAGAGAGACUAAAAAAAUUACCGAGAACUCAUUGAGAUAAUCAACAAUAGCAUUAACAUUAUUCAAUCUAGAAACAUCAAGAACGUUGACAAGGGAGAAAAUGCAUACAACGAUCAAAUCAAACGAAUGAAUAGAAAGAAUGAUGAUGAUGAUAAGGAAAAGCAUGCAGCAUCGGUUCCCUAUCUAGUUUGAUAUCCUAGAAAUGAGCCUGAAUCAGGUCUACGAUCUUCUUGUCCACCCCGAGGGCCUUAGCGAGGAUAUCAUCCGAGAUGGCCGGUUUGGAGCCGAAGACGGAAUUGGCAAUGGUGAUCACCCCCGGGUUUUGGCUGCUGAGACCGGAGAGUGCGACGGCCUUGUUGGUGCCGUAGUUGAACUGGAAGUGGAUGAGGCCUUGGGGGAACACAAACACAUCACCCUUGCGAAGCACUUUGGUGACGAGCCUGUUGUCGGGGUUGGAGGUGACGAAGCCGACGUAGAGCGAGCCUUCCAACACCGUCUGAAUCUCCGUCGCCCGGGGAUGGAUGUGAGGAGGGUUAAGGCCAAACGGCGCGUAGUCCACCCGGGCCAUGGAGAUGCCGAGGGUGUUGAGGCCGGGAAUUCGGUUCGCGUUUAGGAGCGUGACGUUGGAGCCGACUUUGUUGGUGGUGUUGCGAGGCUGGUCGAGACCGGAGAAGAAGAAGUCCUCGGCUUUGACGAGCUUUGGAUCCUUGCAGACAAAUCCGUUGACGAACACUGCAUGAGUUGAAGCAGGAAUCAGCAUCUCGAACCAUGAUAAUAAUUAACCCGAUCACAGGGACAUCGAUAAGCUGUUAGUAUAAUACCAUUGGAUGUGUUAUCCGCAACACACAAGUCCUGGAGAGCACCGGGAUCGCGGGCCAUGGAAGGGGAAGAAACCAAAGCAAGGAGAGCGGCGAGGAGGAGGAUGCCGUAGGAAGCAGCCAUGGCUUUACAACGAGAGAAGUUUACUUCUUGGUGGCAGAACAAGGAGGGGGUAGAUGCAUAUAUAUAUAGAUAAGGAGAUGGGUAAGGGAGACUUGGCAAUAAGAAAGCGUCGGGGUUUAUGGCAGCUCUAACAAUCAAUGAUAUCCGCCGGCAAAUGAUUGACCGAACAAGUCAUCGUUUGCGUGUGCCUCCAAGAAGAACAAUUAAAACUUUGAUGCAGUCCGCUACAUAACCUCAUCCGUGUUUGAUUCUUUUGCUUUACGACCAUGAAGAUACAUCUCUUGAUGACGGAAAUGGUCAAAGAGAAGCUAAUUAAUUGAGGACGUUACGUGGUGAAGCAGAUGAUGGACUUCAUCAAACACAUAGUAGUUGUUGUUACACAGCACUCGUAGUUGACUUCUUCUAGCUCAGGCCGGCUAUGAAUGCUUUCCUCUUCGACGGGAAAGCGUCAACUCUUCCGGCGUGGCCAAGUCUCACACACCUUCGAUCUCCAUAUAUAUCCAUCUGCACCAUUCUAUUCUGCCAUCAAAUUACAGAUUGCUUCUCUUCUCUCCUUGCUUCCUUGCUCUCAUUACGCGGUAGCACAAAUCAAAGACAUGGCUGCGUCCUACAUCCUCCUCCUCUCUGCUCUCCUUGCUUUGGCUGCCUCUCCAGCCAUGGCUGGGGAUCCCAGUGCCCUCCAAGACUUUUGUGUCGCGGACAACACAUCCGAUGGUAUACGGCCUAUUUAAUGUACUUGCGAUGCGGUUAAUUAUUAUCAUGUAUCGAAGAUGCUAAUUGGUGCUUCAACCUAUUCAGUGUUUGUGAACGGAUUAGCCUGCAAGGAUCCAAAGCUCGUCAAAGUCGAAGACUUCUUCUUCUCCGGUCUCGACAAGCCUCGCAACACCACCAACAAAGUCGGCUCCAACGUGACGCUCGUAAACGUGAACCGAAUUCCCGGCCUCAACACCCUCGGCAUCUCCAUGGCCCGAGUGGAUUUCGCACCUUACGGCCUUAACCCUCCUCACAUCCAUCCCCGGGCGACGGAGAUCCUGACGGUGUUGGAAGGCUCGCUCUACGUCGGAUUCGUCACCUCCAACCCCGACAACAAGCUCUUCACCAAAAUGCUCACCAAGGGUGAUGUGUUUGUGUUCCCCCAGGGCCUGAUCCACUUCCAAUUCAACCAUGGCACCAAGAACGCCGUCGCGCUUGCGGCUCUCAGCAGCCAAAACCCCGGGCUGAUCACCAUCGCCAAUGCUGUCUUCGGAUCCAAACCUGCCAUCUCGGACGAUGUCCUCGCUAAGGCAUUUCAGGUGGACGAGAAGACCGUACAUCGGAUCCAGGCACAAUUCUAGGAACACAAACUAGCCAGACAUCUGCUGCAUGCUGCAUACUGCUACUUAUCCUCGUUCUUUAUUCUUCAUUCAUUUAUUUGUCGUGUGCUUGAUUUUUCCGCUAAAUAAAUUUCGAUAAAGUUUUUUUGUUCUCAUAGCAAUAAAUGCUCAACAAUUUGUUGAAGGAGUUUAUGUUGCAUAUUUGUCAUCCAGAUUUUUGGGAAAUUGAAAUAUAUUAACCAUACUCAACAAUCAAACCCUGGAAACUCUCUCAACUGUCACUGUCAUGUUCCGUCGCACCCAGGUCUAGCCGACUAUGCAUCGACACGUGCCACCUAUGGUCAUCGCGGUGCCACCCACAUCACCACCCAUGGUGAAGUCAUCACCCACAACCGCUAGUGAUACAACUUGCUCGUCGACAUCAUCGUUCUCUUUUUCACUACUCAACAAUUGAAAAUCAUAGCCUACGACGUCCAAUCAAUGUCAGCCGCAUCCAAUAGAUGCUACAGCGAUGUUAAUGCUAUCGCCACACACAGCGCGAGACUGUCACGUUGCACGAUGAUUCCGCUGAGUAUGCAGCUGUUGCCGGCUAGCGAUAACCAAAGGUCCCUGCCCCAAUAAUACUAUCGGUAAUAGUAAGACAUCGAGUGAUCAAAUAUAUAUCAACAGAUUUGUUUAUUUUUUUAAAUAAACUCGUUAAGAAUCAUCAUGAUAUUAAUAGUUUAUUAUAAUUUUUAAUUAUAUCGAUAUGAAAAUAAGUUUUUUGAAUGAGAAUCUUGAAGUAACCUAAAUGAUUUGUAAAGUAAGAAUCUUAUAAUUGUACAAACAAAGAGUUAUUACUGUUGGAGAACCUUUAUAUCAUGGUCGAGGUGUCAGCAUAGUUCGAUCCAAUUCUGGAUGCAUAAAGUCACCCACGUGAAUGCUUGGAUAGUAGAAGUAGGCAUCGAGUCGGGUUGGGUUCUGUUAGGACUGUUUUGGGUAGAGGGGGCUUUCGUAAAAAUUAUAUCGAUUCAAAAAUUUCUUUCGAUAAAGGUAAUAUCGAAAAAGAGUUUAACUUAAAACAUUCAUAAAGUAGUAAGCAAUUAAAUCAGUUAGUAAUAAGAAUGAAAAGCAAAACAGAAAUACAAACCAAAUUUAUAAUAGUUCGGUCAUCGCUACAUACAUCUACUCUCAUUCCUCUUCCUUCGAGACUAUUGGCAUUCACUAAUGAUAUUCUUUCAAUGGGCAAAAACAAACUAUUCUCUUACAACUCUUUCUCAUUUUUCUUAGGUUUAGGAGAUAACCUUUACAAGUCUCACAAAAAGAUCACAAAACUAUAAGAAGGAGGAGAACUCUUAAUACUUUUCAAGACUUUUUCAACUCUAAAUUACUAACCUUUUUGUUCACUUUUUAUGCUUUUGCAAACAGGAAAGUGUGGGGUAUUUGUAGGCCUCAAAUGACUUCAAAAAUAGAGCCAUCGUCAUUACUAGGCUGUACCACCAUAUGCUAGAUUGAUAACUAGUGGUACCAUCGUUUGCCAGAUUAACACUAGGUGGUAUCAUUGCCUAACAUUGAUGGUACCACCAUCAGGUCUUUCGAAAGAAAUACAUUUCAUACUUUUCUAGCUCAUAAGCAGUUCCACUGCCUGGUCGUGGUGCCAUUGUCUGACCUAACCUUAGGUUACUGAAUGGGCCUCCCAAUGAGCCCAACUCAACCUUAGAUCAGACCCAAUAGGCCCUAAAUUGGGUUAUCAUGGUUACCCUCCGAAACUGACUCAAUUAAACCUAAACUACUUCGAUCUAAACACACACGAUUACAAGACUAGAAUACUAUGUUGUCCGGUAUGUAAUUGGUUCAUCCAAUGCUUCGUCUGAUUCUUCGGUGCAUUGUCUUCUCCUUCGGCGUAUUAUCCAAUCGACAUGUUGACCUCCCGUAACAUUCGAUCUCUUUAGUGCAAUAUAUGAUCUUUCGGUCUGAUGCUUAAACUCAUGACAUGAAGUCCUUCUGGCACAUUGACCAGUCCUUCAACCCGAUGUCCAAUCUUCUAACAUGUUCCACUAUGGCCCAACGUUUGAUUCUUCUUGUUUUAAUCGAAUUAUCUUUCUAUGAUCGAAGUUAGUCAUGCGUCACUCAAACGUACAUUUGAUCAUAACUUCCAUUGAUUUCUUUAUCAAAAUCCAAGUAUCAACAAUCUCUCCCUUGGAAAAACUACCUCGAGUGGGAGCACUGCCUCAGUCCUGAAUGCUAGACUGAAGGGUGACUCUCCCAUGGCAUUCUUUUGUGUGUUUGGGAUGCCCAUAGGAUGCUCGGGAGUUCAUCAACCCACAUGUCAUGCGCCUCGAUAACCCUUCAUUUAGGCCUUCUAGUAUUGUUUGGUUGGUCACUCCGGCAAGGCCAUUGGUUUGGAGAUACUCUACUAAGUUGAAUCUUAGUUGAAUUUUAUAAUUUUGGAAGAACUUCUUGAAUUUUGUGUUAUUGAAUUGGGCUCCAUUGUUCAUGAUGAUGGCCUUUGGGAUGUCGAACCAAGUGAUAAUGUUUUUCUAGACAAAGCCUUCGACUUGUCUUUGGAUGACGGAUGCUAAGGGCUCGGCCUCGACCCAUUUGGUAAAAUAAUCCAUCUUGACGUUAAGGAAUCUUCGUUGUCUUGAAGUUGGAGGGAAGGGGUCGAGGAGAUCCAUUCCCCAUUAUGCAAAUGGCCAUGUGCAAUCUAUCGAGGUCAGGGGUACCACGGGCUAAUGUUGCACUUAAGCAUGCUUUUGGCAUUGCAUGCAUCGUUGCAUAUAGGCAACGGUGUCCCACCGCAUGGUCAGCCAAUUGUAGCCUUGUAUGAGGAUUUUGAAGGCUAAAGUAUGGCCGCUGAUAUGCUCCCCUCAAAUGCCCUCAUCCUUUUUGUAGUAGAGAAUGUCCUCCAUCCAUCUUAGAGUCACUUCGGUUAUGGCGAUAUCCUUGGUUGCAAUGGUUCAAAAGGAGAGCUUUUCGACCUCCCGGCCCAAGGCGAGUUUUGCUAGUGCAUCUACUUGUGUGUUCUGUGCUCGGGGCACCCUUAUCACCGUGAAGUGUUGGAAGCGAAUUGCCAGUUUAUCACGGACUUAGCUGGUUUUGCCUAAGUCGUGCGGCACCCUUGCGUGUCCGUCCGCAAAGGUCAGUCUUCCCGAAGCCUUCCAUUGUCCCUUAGGACCAACAAAAGAGAGAACGGGUUACAGAGAACACCUCAAUCGGGAUCCAUAAGCAAACAUCUCUGAAAAACACUUCAUAGACAAUGCAAAUUACAAACAGACUUUACAAGCUCAGAACAGUUGCACAACAAAGGGUAAAAUGAUCCAUUACAGAUCGAGAAUCUCUCACACGUGUCCAUAUGACACAACCUUUAUUUACAAGCCUAAAGAGGCCACCAACCUAACUAAAAUGAGACUAUUAAGCCUUCGGCCGUCCCUCUACAUGUUGUACAAGGCAUGGAUAUGCUAAAAAGACACGGACAUGCAUAAGCAUUACAUCAAACAUCAUGUUUAGAAGUUUGUCCAUGACAUUCUCCCCCACUUAUUCCUUCGACGUCCUCGUUGAAGCCUUUGUCGACACUGCAACUCCUCACCUUUGCUGAGUCUUCAAUCUUCUGCUCCAGCUACAAUGCGCCUCUUGGCUCCCAUCUACUCUCCGUUGCUGUUUUUGAGUAGUCGAACCUUUGAUCCGCCAUGCUGCUUCAACUCGCCAAUGACUCUUGACUCUAGUGUGGGGUUGGCUGAGUUGUAUUGAUCCCUGUUGGUUCCUGCGGAUCCUCCAGAUGAAGGAAAAAACCAUUCUUACUGCGCUAGUCUCUCAAAUGCCUCAUGCUGCUUGAACUGGGUGGAUGCUUGUUGGAGCUUUAACGAGCAUCGUCUCGCAAACUUCUGAAGUUUUGGGUCCUUCCUCCACAAUAUUUGCUCAUUGACUCUUCUUUCACUUAGUUGUCACAUCCAAGUAGGUUCGCAUCACUUUCGCAUUCGAUUGACAUUUCAUUGGGAAAUGAAGCGGACAAUCUACUCUCAGUAGCACUGAUCACCGUUGGUGAGGAUUUGACAACUAUUGUCUUCCAUUAUCUUCGAAGGGUUUUUGAACUUGUGCAGAGCUCCUCUGCUGGAUAGAUAAAGAGAAUUGGGGUACUCGGUUUCGCCCAUUCUCUUAAGAGUUGAGAAGGCAAAUGAUAGAUAAGAGAAUUGGGGUAUUUGGCACCAUGUUUUGCGACAGAAAGAGAGAGAGACUAUAAAAAUUACCGAGAACUCAAUGCGAUAAUCAACAAUAGCAUUAACAUUAUUCAAUCUAGAAACAUCAAGAACGUUGACAAAGUAGAAAAUGCAUACAACGAUCAAAUAAAACGAAUGAAUAGAAAGAAUGAUGAUGAUGAUAAGGAAAAGCAUGCUGCAUCGGUUCCCUGGCUAAUUUGAUAUCCUAGAAAUGAGCCUGAAUCAGGUCUAUGAUCUUCUUGUCCACCCCAAGGGCCUUAGCGAGGAUAUCAUCCGAGAUGGCCGGUUUGGAGCCGAAGACGGAAUUGGCAAUGGUGAUCACCCCCGGGUUUUGGCUGCUGAGACUGGAGAGUGCGACGGCCUUGUUGAUGCCGUAGUUGAACUGGAAGUGGAUGAGGCCUUGGGGGAACACAAACACAUCACCCUUGCGAAGCACUUUGGUGAUGAGCCUGUUGUCGGGGUUGGAGGUGACGAAGCCGACGUAGAGCGAGCCUUCCAACACCGUCUGAAUCUCCGUCGCCCGGGGAUGGAUGUGAGGAGGGUUAAGGCCAAACGGCGCGUAGUCCACCCGGGCCAUGGAGAUGCCGAGGGUGUUGAGGCCGGGAAUUCGGUUCGC